rnacentral:rRNA from 1 species
GAGUUUGAUCCUGGCUCAGAACGAACGCUGGCGGCGUGGAUAAGACAUGCAAGUCGAACGAGAGAAUUGCUAGCUUGCUAAUAAUUCUCUAGUGGCGCACGGGUGAGUAACACGUGAGUAACCUGCCCCCGAGAGCGGGAUAGCCCUGGGAAACUGGGAUUAAUACCGCAUAGUAUCGAAAGAUUAAAGCAGCAAUGCGCUUGGGGAUGGGCUCGCGGCCUAUUAGUUAGUUGGUGAGGUAACGGCUCACCAAGGCGAUGACGGGUAGCCGGUCUGAGAGGAUGUCCGGCCACACUGGAACUGAGACACGGUCCAGACACCUACGGGUGGCAGCAGUCGAGAAUCAUUCACAAUGGGGGAAACCCUGAUGGUGCGACGCCGCGUGGGGGAAUGAAGGUCUUCGGAUUGUAAACCCCUGUCAUGUGGGAGCAAAUUAAAAAGAUAGUACCACAAGAGGAAGAGACGGCUAACUCUGUGCCAGCAGCCGCGGUAAUACAGAGGUCUCAAGCGUUGUUCGGAAUCACU